AGAGUUUGAUCCUGGCUCAGAUUGAACGCUGGCGGCAUGCCUUACACAUGCAAGUCGAACGGCAGCACGGGGGCAACCCUGGUGGCGAGUGGCGAACGGGUGAGUAAUACAUCGGAACGUGUCCUGUAGUGGGGGAUAGCCCGGCGAAAGCCGGAUUAAUACCGCAUACGAUCUACGGAAGAAAGCGGGGGAUCGCAAGACCUCGCGCGCUAUAGGGGCGGCCGAUGGCAGAUUAGCUAGUUGGUGGGGUAAAGGCCUACCAAGGCGACGAUCUGUAGCUGGUCUGAGAGGACGACCAGCCACACUGGGACUGAGACACGGCCCAGACUCCUACGGGAGGCAGCAGUGGGGAAUUUUGGACAAUGGGGGAAACCCUGAUCCAGCAAUGCCGCGUGUGUGAAGAAGGCCUUCGGGUUGUAAAGCACUUUUGUCCGGAAA
rnacentral:rRNA from 1 species